rnacentral:rRNA from 1 species
UACGAAGGGGGCUAGCGUUGCUCGGAAUCACUGGGCGUAAAGCGCACGUAGGCGGACUUUUAAGUCAGAGGUGAAAUCCUGGAGCUCAACUCCAGAACUGCCUUCGAUACUGAGAGUCUUCGAGUUCGGGAGAGGUGAGUGGAACUGCGAGUGUAGAGGUGAAAUUCGUAGAUAUUCGCAAGAACACCAGUGGCGAAGGCGGCUCACUGGCCCGAUACUGACGCUGAGGUGCGAAAGCGUGGGGAGCAAACAGG